rnacentral:rRNA from 1 species
CCCUUAGAUGUUCUGGGCCGCACGCGCGCUACACUGAUACGUUCAGCGAGUAUAUAACCUUGAUUGGAAAAUCUGGGUAAUCUUUUGAAUGCGUAUCGUGCUAGGGAUAGAUUAUUGCAAUUAUUAAUCUUGAACGAGGAAUUCCUAGUAAACGCAAGUCAUCAGCUUGCAUUGAUUACGUCCCUGCCCUUUGUACACACCGCCUGUCGCACAAACCGAUUGAAUGAUUCGGUGAAAAUUUUGGACAUCGAGAGUGGUGAUUAAUUUCGCUGCUCUUAAAUUGAAAGAAUUUAAACCUAAUUAUUUAGAGGAUUGUGAAGUCAUAACA